GGGGAAUUUUGGACAAUGGGGGCAACCCUGAUCCAGCCAUGCCGCGUGAGUGAAGAAGGCCUUCGGGUUGUAAAGCUCUUUUGGUCGGGAAGAAAGUGCUCUGCCUAAUACGUGGGGUAUUUGACGGUACCGGCAGAAUAAGCACCGGCUAACUACGUGCCAGCAGCCGCGGUAAUACGUAGGGUGCGAGCGUUAAUCGGAAUUACUGGGCGUAAAGCGUGCGCAGGCGGUUCGUUAAGUCUGAUGUGAAAGCCCCGGGCUCAACCUGGGAAUGGCAUUGGAAACUGGCGGGCUGGAGUAUGGCAGAGGGGGGUGGAAUUCCACGUGUAGCAGUGAAAUGCGUAGAGAUGUGGAGGAACACCGAUGGCGAAGGCAGCCCCCUGGGCCAAUACUGACGCUCAGGCACGAAAGCGUGGGGAGCAAAC
rnacentral:rRNA from 1 species